ACCAUCGAGUUUCGUCUUGACGUCGUUCAACUCUCUUACAACGAGCUCGCGAAUUUUUGCGUCCGUAACGUCGCCGUCUUUCAGUUUAUCCGCAGCCGAGUCGCGAGCUUUAUUCACGAGUAAACCCACUAUUGAACUUAGCAUUUUUGUGACAAUUGACGCCAUACUGAACUCUUAUACUCAAGCAACAAAGCGAUACUGAAUUUACACAAAAUAGACAAUAUGCCC